GACGAACGCUGGCGGCGUGCUUAACACAUGCAAGUCGAACGGACCCUUUGGGGUUAGUGGCGAACGGGUGAGUAACACGUGGGUGAUCUGCCCUGCACUUUGGGAUAAGCCUGGGAAACUGGGUCUAAUACCGGAUAGGACUACGCACUGCAUGGUGUGUGGUGGAAAGCUUUUGCGGUGUGGGAUGGGCCCGCGGCCUAUCAGCUUGUUGGUGGGGUGAUGGCCUACCAAGGCGACGACGGGUAGCCGGCCUGAGAGGGUGACCGGCCACACUGGGACUGAGAUACGGCCCAGACUCCUACGGGAGGCAGCAGUGGGGAAUAUUGCACAAUGGGCGCAAGCCUGAUGCAGCGACGCCGCGUGAGGGAUGACGGCCUUCGGGUUGUAAACCUCUUUCGCCAGGGACGAAGCGCAAGUGACGGUACCUGGAGAAGAAGGACCGGCCAACUACGUGCCAGCAGCCGCGGUAAUACGUAGGGUCCGAGCGUUGUCCGGAAUUACUGGGCGUAAAGAGCUCGUAGGUGGUUUGUCGCGUUGUUCGUGAAAACUCACAGCUUAACUGUGGGCGUGCGGGCGAUACGGGCAGACUGGAGUACUGCAGGGGAGACUGGAAUUCCUGGUGUAGCGGUGGAAUGCGCAGAUAUCAGGAGGAACACCGGUGGCGAAGGCGGGUCUCUGGGCAGUAACUGACGCUGAGGAGCGAAAGCGUGGGGAGCGAACAGGAUUAGAUACCCUGGUAGUCCACGCCGUAAACGGUGGGUACUAGGUGUGGGUUUCCUUCCUUGGGAUCCGUGCCGUAGCUAACGCAUUAAGUACCCCGCCUGGGGAGUACGGCCGCAAGGCUAAAACUCAAAGGAAUUGACGGGGGCCCGCACAAGCGGCGGAGCAUGUGGAUUAAUUCGAUGCAACGCGAAGAACCUUACCUGGGUUUGACAUGCACAGGACGCCGGCAGAGAUGUCGGUUCCCUUGCGGCCUGUGUGCAGGUGGUGCAUGGCUGUCGUCAGCUCGUGUCGUGAGAUGUUGGGUUAAGUCCCGCAACGAGCGCAACCCUUGUCUCAUGUUGCCAGCACGUUAUGGUGGGGACUCGUGAGAGACUGCCGGGGUCAACUCGGAGGAAGGUGGGGAUGACGUCAAGUCAUCAUGCCCCUUAUGUCCAGGGCUUCACACAUGCUACAAUGGCCGGUACAAAGGGCUGCGAUGCCGUGAGGUGGAGCGAAUCCUUUCAAAGCCGGUCUCAGUUCGGAUCGGGGUCCGCAACUCGACCCCGUGAAGUCGGAGUCGCUAGUAAUCGCAGAUCAGCAACGCUGCGGUGAAUACGUUCCCGGGCCU
rnacentral:rRNA from 1 species